rnacentral:rRNA from 1 species
AACGCGAAGAACCUUACCCACCUUUGACAUGGCAGGAAGUCUUCAGAGAUGAGGAUGUGCUCGAAAGAGAACCUGCACACAGGUGCUGCAUGGCUGUCGUCAGCUCGUGUCGUGAGAUGUUGGGUUAAGUCCCGCAACGAGCGCAACCCUUGCCAUUAGUUGCUACAUUCAGUUGAGCACUCUAAUGGGACUGCCGGUGACAAACCGGAGGAAGGUGGGGAUGACGUCAAGUCCUCAUGGCCCUUAUAGGUGGGGCUACACACGUCAUACAAUGGCUGGUACAAAGGGUUGCCAACCCGCGAGGGGGAGCUAAUCCCAUAAAGCCAGUCGUAGUCCGGAUCGCAGUCUGCAACUCGACUGCGUGAAGUCGGAAUCGCUAGUAAUCGUGGAUCAGAAUGUCACGGUGAAUACGUUCCCGGGCCUUGUACACACCGCUACAGU